AGAGUUUUAAUGAAUGUAGUUUUUAUAUAGUUUUUAUAUAUGUGUGAAUGAGGUGUUGAAGGGGUUGCGAACUGGGAAACCGAAUCAUUUCACUGAAUAUAUUUUAUUUUAUUCAAGUGCCUUUAAGUUUUUUAAGAAAAGAAAACCAAACAAAAAAAUAUUUUUGGGGGGUAUUUUUAUUUUUUAGUGUUGGUUUUUAAGGUAUCAAAUUUAUGAUUUAUAGGAUUGUGAUGAUGGAUGUAAAUGUUACACUGUAUUGCCAGAAGUAUGAGCUUGAGUUCAAUCCAGUUCUUAAUCCAUUGGGUUUAAUAUGAUAUCAGUUUAUCUUUUACUCCUCUGGGAAUGUUUUCCACAAGGUUUAGGAGUGUGUUUAUUGUCAUUUUUUACUUUUUUAUUGGACGAGAAGACCUGAAUCAGUCCCCAAUCAGAUUCAUCCCAAUGGUUUUCUAUCAGAGGUCAGGACAGUUCAAGUUCUUCCUCUACUCCAAUCUCUCAAACUCAAAGAUCAUCCAUGUCUUUUUAGAUCUUGCUUUUUGCACUGAUGAAAACGAAAAGUGGUCCACAAACUGGUGACAGUUAUUUAAAAAUCCAUGAAAUUGUCUAAAAUCUGUUGGUUUUCUGAAGCAUUGAGAGUUCCUUGCACUCUUGCUUUCACGGGUCGAACCCACCUCCUGCAAAACAACCCAAAAACAAACUAAUGAUCCCCCCUCAGCCAAACUUUACGCUCAUUACAGGGUUCCUGUGGGUCCUUAGAAUGUCUUAAAAAGGCUUAAAAGGUCUUAAAAAGGCUUAGAAAAGUCUUAAAUAACUAAGGUUGGUGAAGAGGUAUCUAACAUUAGCUGAAAGGUAGCUAAGGUUAGCAGAGAGCUAGCUAACAUUUAGUGGCGGAUUAGCUAGCCAACAUGCUAACAUAUUAACUUCACCGAUGAGUCAGCUAACUGGGAGGUCAUAAUAAGUUUUGACUAAGACUAUAAUAAAUAAUAAUUUUAGGCUGCAUAAUUUUCCACUUUUAACUUCCAAUACAAUCAAUUAUUUUCUACCAAAGAAAUUAUGACAACUUUUUGGAUCUUAAAUAAUAUAUUUUUUUAGGUCCUAAAAACAUUAAAUUUGACUUUUAAAAUGACUUUUCCAUCGUAUUGUUAGUUGGAGAGGCGUGAUUCAUCACUAUAGAGACCACUGAAUUCACCACUGAACUCACCAACUUUCUAGAAAUAACGAACUUUCUAGAAAUAGUAAAAUGUAAGCGUAAAAAUCAAAAUCUGCAAUAUGAGCAAUAUCAUAUUACCGCCAACAUCCUCCUUCCCCCUCAGUAAGAGUGAGAAUAUUGAAGAUGGCUUGUAGCUGAAUCUUCCAGCAUGACAAUGACCCGGGACACACCUGAGAUAUUUUAACUAGUAUUUGUAGAAGCACCUACAGGAACACCUGAGUGAAUAUUUUUGGCAAUAUAGUGUAGAUUUGAUGAUGAUCUAUGUCUGAUCAGGUUUUUCGAAUAGAAUCAAUUGUCCUUCUUCUUAGAAAUAACGAACUUUCUAGAAAUAACAAACUUUCUAGAAGUAACAGAUUUUAUAGAAGUACCGAACUUUCUAGACGUAACGAACUUUCUAGAAAUAGUAAGAAGUAAGAGUAAGAAUAUUGAAGAUGGGUCGUCGCUGAAUCUUCCAGCAUGACAAUGACCCGAGACACACCCGAGGUAUCUUUACUAAUGUUUGUAUAAGCACCUGCAGGAACACCUGAAUAAAGUGAAUAUAUUUUUGGCAAUACAGUGUAGAUUUGAUGAUGAUCUACUAUGUCUGAUCAGGUUUUUAGAAUUGAAUCGAUUAUCUUGGACCUAUAGUUCCAUUGCUAAAAGCAAUAAUUGAACCACUAAUAUGUGCCUAACAAACCACCAGCACUUCACUAUUACUGGAAGACAUAAUUUAUCACAUGAUAAAUCAGCAAUACGAGCAAUAUCCGGUUAUAUCUGCGUAAAUCAGCUUUAUUUGAGAAAUUAGGUUUUAUAUCAGUGACUGUAGAAAACAUGGAGACUUUUUUUUUUCUAUAGAAAUUACUGUACAAUUUGCAACCAGAGCCAAUCAACACAGUAGAAAAAAGAGGCGGAGCCAGAUUUGGUAGAACCGCCCCUUUUUUCCCAAACCAAGUGUUACAGUCUCAGGCUGCCUUCCUUGAGCAGUUCACAGUAAUGGUCCCCAACAAUAAUAAUAUCGCCAACAUUUUUUAAUAUCGUAAAUGAUAUCGUACCCUGAAAUAUCGCCCACCCCUAAUUAUUUCACACUGUUCUCAUUAUUCCUCAUUAUAUAUCUACUAGAGACAGAUUAUAUCUGUACAGUAUCAUUUAUUCUACUUUAAUCCUGGAUAUAUGAAGUGCAUUUUAAGUAUCAUGACAUUCUGGAUCAUUGACUUUAUCUGUUACAAAUCUGAUCAAAUUCUUGUAUUUUUUUAAUAUCUCGGAUAUUAUAUCGUAUACAGCAAUAAAAUGUAAUUUGCAUUAUGUUGCAGUAGUGCAUUCUUGAAAAAAAAAAAAAUAUAUAUAUAUAUUGUUUGUUUUUAAAAUCGGUUUUGUCAUAUCGCCAAAAGUAUCGUUAUUGUGAAAAUAAUAUGAAAUAUUGUAAUAAUAUUUUAGGGACAUAUCGACCACCCCUAGUUCAUGCACAGUAUUUUAUUACCAAAUAAUUUAUGAUUCUAUCAUAUAUAUUAUUGUGCUGGAGUUUAAAUCCGUUUACUCUUUUUUUUUUUUUUUUUUUUUUUUUUUUUUAACCGCUGAGAUAAUCCAAAGCUACUAUUCUAAAAACCAAUCAGAUUUACUGAAAAAUAAAAUAUGCGUAAAAAGCUACUUUGUGUAACAAAACUUCGUAAAAAGUUUACGAAGUAACCGUUAAUGUGACCAACAGCAGAAUCGAACUACAUCGCUAAUAUAUAAUACUAGUAUUAUUGAUGAUUAACUAGAUCUAACUAUUCAUUUUUCAAUUAAUUCAAUUAAAAACGUAGCCCCACCUAUUAUAAUAUAAUCUAUUAUAAUCUAUUAUAAUAUAGCAGAAUAAGAUUAUAAACUAAUUCCUGUUGGGGGUGAAAAUACAAAUGUUUCAUGAUUUACAACAAACUAAAUUAAAACUAACUUUUAAAAUUAGACACUGGAGACGGAAAGAGGAAUAAGAAAGAAAGUGGGCGGGGCUGUUUUAUAGUUUUUCUUUAUUAAAACACACAGGGGUGGGCGGAGCUACACAUCAUACCGCAACGAGCCAGCAGAGGUGCUAGACCUGUGGUGGUUUCACUGUUUAGCAAUAUAAAAUAAACUUUUAAAAUUAGACACUGGAGAUGAAAAGAGGAAUUAGAAGGAAAGUGGGCGGGGUUGUUUUCUUGUUUGUUUUUUUCAUUAAAACACACGGGUGGGCGGAGCUACACACUAUAUCGCAACCAGCCAGCAGAGGCGCUAGACUUGUGGUGGUUUCACUUUUAAAAGACUGUUUCCAUGUUUUUUACAGUCACUGGAUAAAAUUGAAGUGUCACGUACUUUUAAUAACCUUUAAUCAUCACUUUAAUCAUCUCACACUAUCUGCAUAUUAAUUUUAAUAUACAGCUGCUUGUAUUUUAGUGCUUGGUGUGAUGAAAAAAUGCAGUGUAUUUCUCAUUUUAGCCUAAAAGCUUUAUGAUAUAUCAGUCUGAGGGUAUCUCAAUUUUAAGAUUUUAAGCAUUUGUUUAAAAGCACAUUUUAUGUUUUGUACAUAAAGUUUUUUACAUGUUUUUCUUUUAAAUCUCUGCAUAACUGAGUGGUUAAAGGGUGUGUUACACUCAUUUUUAAAUGGAAUGCAUAAAAUAAAAAAAAUAAAAAUGCAUAAAAUUAUUUGAUCGGAUUUUUGACAAACUCUUGAUAUUCUAAUGCAGUAAUCAGAUUAUAAAAUGCAUAUAAAUGUUUUUAUCAGAUCACUGAUAAAAUCAGGUGUUUUGCACUGUUUGAAUUAUGAGUUGCAUGUUCACACAUUUUGAUCAAAAAAAAAAAAACCUAACAAACGCAAAAAUCCUGAUUUCUGCAAAAAUCCGUUUUCAGUAAUCCGAUCAAAUCAUUUACAUGCAUUUAUAAUCUGAUUACUUCAAAUCAUCAAAGCUGUAAAUGUAAAUGUGGUACCAAAUACUUCAUUUGUUAAUUAUAGCUGUAUUUUUGUUUUGUUUUUUACUGUAAAAACAAUUGAUUUUAGAUCAAUAAUUGUGGAAUCUUGUGCUGAAAUUCAGUUUAAGUGGUUAUUGGGUGUGUUUCACUCAUUUUUAAAUGGUGCGCAAUCAAGCCAUAAAUUUUAGCUCUGGCUUUUUUUUAGAGAAAUUGUGAAAUUAAAUUAAGGUACUAAACAAAAGCAUUUUCUACAAGUGACCAUGCAUCUUAAAUUCUGUUUUAUUGAUCAGUACAAAUUAUUUCAGUAAUUUUUUUUUUUAUGAUUGUAAUUAAUAAUUGCAUUUAUUAAAUCCUAAAGGAAAAAAAGUAUAAGAAACAUAAAUAAUUAAAUAAAAUAAUUGAAUAAAUAAAAAUCUAAAUAGAAUUUGGCAAAAAACUAAAUAUAUAAAAAUGUAUAAUGAUGUGUUUAGAGGUUUAAACUUAUUUUAUAGAAAAACAAUCUAUAUCAUUUUUUCCCCACACCCUAACUAUUUAAUUAUGCAGAUUUUUAUUAAAAAAUACAGUGUAAUUUCUUGUUUAAUUGUGAUAUUUUAUAUGUGUGUAUAUAUAUGGAUAGAAUGGCUCAAUGUUCACAGUUGUUACUUUUGAUUGAUUAUUUUCUUUUUAAAUCAUUUUAUUCAUUCCUUUUGUAUCAUUAUUCAGUUAUUCAGUAUUUAACGGGUAAUUGAUGAAUACCUGUCAGAUUAUCAGAUUAUCAGAUUAUGAGUGUGUGUAAAUGUGUUUUACUGGAUUACUGAUAUUUUAUAUAUGGGUUUUUUUCAUGUGUGUGGCGCCACCUGCUGGAGAACAGUAACAAAAACAACACGCUGAUUUAAAUAAUGAUUUACCACACUUCUACUUGUAGGACCAAAUACUGCAUUCGAGUGUCAUUACUUUUAACUGUAUUUUUAUUUUUACUGUAAAGAUCAGUAAUUGUAGAA